rnacentral:lncRNA from 1 species
UUUAAAUUUCAGUCAAUUACUCUGCCCGUUAAAUGUCAACAAAAACAUAUUAUGGCUACCUAUAAAAUGGAAUUUAAAUAAAUAUAUUUAACACAUAAUAACCCCAGAACAUUCGUCUAAGUCUUGCCUGAAAAUUACCUUCAGUUUCUGCCAUAAACCCAUGUACUUCCUACCAAAACUAUGCCAAGCGUAAAAUGUUGGCCAGAAGUUUUUGUGCGUUUCGAAAGUUUUUGCUUUUUUGCUUGAAUAAAGAAUGAGACAAAGUCUGACGAUGCAACUGACGAGUGCCAACGCUGUGGCAGGAAGAAUUCUACUUUAAAGUUGGCAAGGACACCCCCUGAAACUGUACUGUUAUAUAAAUAAAACAAACGGCAGUUUUUCCACCACUAUUUCCACGUUGAUGCUGGCCAUAUUUUACGUGCUCCACGACUGCACCUGACUCGCUGAGAACUUUUCGGGCUGUUAUGGAAAACUCUCUUCGAGAUUUUUCUAAGCAAAGUGAAACUUUUAAUACAUACAUACAUAUAACUGUGCAUAUAUUAUAUCAUUUGAAGAGCUCGAACACACACAGGCGCAGACUUUUUUGUAUUUGUUGAGAUUAAUUAAGACAAGCCUGCUGACAGUCAAGGCAAUUCGAAUGCUCGGCACUCGGAAGGGAGUCUAAUGGCUAGAAAAGUGGGCACAUUUGCAUAACAGUCGGCAGGAAAAGUUGAAACAAGUAACGAGCCAGUGAGUCAUGAAACAGAAAAAUUAACAAACAGCAAACAGGAGUGCCCGAGAGAGGGAAGCAGCUUAAGCGCGAGGAAAGGAGUCUGGAGAAAAGCAAUUCGAAAUCGAUUUUUGUACACUCUUUCAAUGCUGUAAACAACAC